rnacentral:rRNA from 1 species
AGCAGUCGCCACGGUAAUACGUAGGUGGCAAGCGUUGUCCGGAAGUAUUGGGCGUAAAGGGCUCGCAGGCGGUUUCUUAAGUCUGAUGUGAAAGCCCCCGGCUCAACCGGGGAGGGUCAUUGGAAACUGGGAAACUUGAGUGCAGAAGAGGAGAGUGGAAUUCCACGUGUAGCGGUGAAAUGCGUAGAGAUGUGGAGGAACACCAGUGGCGAAGGCGACUCUCUGGUCUGUAACUGACGCUGAGGAGCGAAAGCGUGGGGAGCGAACAGGAUUAGAUACCCCAGUAGUCCCUGUCUCUUAUAC